rnacentral:rRNA from 1 species
UAACCCUGAGGCGUGAUGACGAUGCACUACGGUGCAGAAGUAGUUGAUGCCCUGCUUCCAGGAAAAUCCUCUAAGCUCCAGGUAACAUUAAAUCGUACCCCAAACCGACACAGGUGGUCAGGUAGAGAAUACCAAGGCGCUUGAGAGAACUCGGGUGAAGGAACUAGGCAAAAUGGUGCCGUAACUUCGGGAGAAGGCACGCUGGCAUGUAGGUGAAGUCCCUUGCGGAUGGAGCUGAAGCCAGUCGAAGAUACCAGCUGGCUGCAACUGUUUAAUAAAAACACAGCACUGUGCAAACACGAAAGUGGACGUAUACGGUGUGACGCCUGCCCGGUGCUGGAAGGUUAAUUGAUGGGGUCAGCCGCAAGGCGAAGCUCUUGAUCGAAGCCCCAGUAAACGGCGGCCGUAACUAUAACGGUCCUAAGGUAGCGAAAUUCCUUGUCGGGUAAGUUCCGACCUGCACGAAUGGCGUAAUGAUGGCCAGGCUGUCUCCACCCGAGACUCAGUGAAAUUGAACUCGCUGUGAAGAUGCAGUGUACCCGCGGCAAGACGGAAAGACCCCGUGAACCUUUACUAUAGCUUGACACUGAACAUUGAGCCUUGAUGUGUAGGAUAGGUGGGAGGCUUUGAAGCGUGGACGCCAGUCUGCGUGGAGCCAUCCUUGAAAUACCACCCUUUAAUGUUUGAUGUUCUAACUCGGCCCCAUAAUCUGGGGUGAGGACAGUGUCUGGUGGGUAGUUUGACUGGGGCGGUCUCCUCCCAAAGAGUAACGGAGGAGCACGAAGGUUAGCUAAUCACGGUCGGACAUCGUGAGGUUAGUGCAAAGGCAUAAGCUAGCUUGACUGCGAGAGUGACGGCUCGAGCAGGUACGAAAGUAGGUCUUAGUGAUCCGGUGGUUCUGAAUGGAAGGGCCAUCGCUCAACGGAUAAAAGGUACUCCGGGGAUAACAGGCUGAUACCGCCCAAGAGUUCAUAUCGACGGCGGUGUUUGGCACCUCGAUGUCGGCUCAUCACAUCCUGGGGCUGAAGUAGGUCCCAAGGGUAUGGCUGUUCGCCAUUUAAAGUGGUACGCGAGCUGGGUUUAGAACGUCGUGAGACAGUUCGGUCCCUAUCUGCCGUGGGCGUUGGAAGAUUGAGAGGGGUUGCUCCUAGUACGAGAGGACCGGAGUGAACGCACCACUGGUGUUCGGGUUGUCAUGCCAAUGGCAUUGCCCGGUAGCUAAGUGCGGAAAAGAUAAGCGCUGAAAGCAUCUAAGCGCGAAACUUGCCUCAAGAUGAGUCUUCCCUGGGCCUU